UACAGAGGGUGCGAGCGUUGUCCGGAAUCACUGGGCGUAAAGGGCGCGUAGGUGGCGCCCCAAGUCGAUGGUGAAAGCUCGCCGCUUAACGGCGAGUCGGCCACCGAUACUGGGUUGCUUGAGCACUGUAGAGGCUAAUGGAAUUCCGGGUGUAGCGGUGGAAUGCGUAGAGAUCCGGAAGAACACCGGUGGCGAAGGCGGUUAGCUGGGCAGUUGCUGACACUGAGGCGCGACAGCGUGGGGAGCAAACAGG
rnacentral:rRNA from 1 species